AGGUGAACCUGCGGAAGGAUCAUUAUCGAGUUUUGACUGGGUUGUAGCUGGCCUUCCGAGGCAUGUGCACGCCCUGCUCAUCCACUCUACACCUGUGCACUUACUGUGGGCUUCAGAUCGUAAAACGGGUCCCUUUACCGGGCUUGCGGAGCGUGUCUGUGCCUGCGUUUAUCACAAACUCUAUAAAGUAUCAGAAUGUGUAUUGCGAUGUAACGCAUCUAUAUACAACUUUCAGCAACGGAUCUCUUGGCUCUCGCAUCGAUGAAGAACGCAGCGAAAUGCGAUAAGUAAUGUGAAUUGCAGAAUUCAGUGAAUCAUCGAAUCUUUGAACGCACCUUGCGCUCCUUGGUAUUCCGAGGAGCAUGCCUGUUUGAGUGUCAUGAAAUCUUCAACCUGCAAGCUUUUGUGGUUUGUAGGCUUGGACUUGGAGGCUUGUCGGCCGUUGUUGGUCGGCUCCUCUUAAAUGCAUUAGCUUGGUUCCUUGCGGAUCGGCUCUCAGUGUGAUAAUGUCUACGCUGCGACCGUGAAGUGUUUGGCGAGCUUCUAACCGUCUCAGUUGGAGACAACUUUAUGACCUCUGACCUCAAAUCAGGUAGGACUACCCGCUGAACUUAAGCAUAUCAAUAAGCGGAGGAAAAGAA
rnacentral:rRNA from 1 species